GCAACUUCUCUUUGUUAUCCCUUCAACACUCAUCUUCUGUACCUAUGCAGCCGCGUCUUCCUGCCCAUCCACAUGCAGCUAGCGAACGCGCUCGCCGUCCAUGACCGCCGUCAGCUGGAUGCACCUCGUUUGAAUCCCUUGUGGAUCGCCGGCCGCCCGCAGCCAUGGGCGUGUUCGUUUCCUUCUCCGCCGGCAGCUGGUUGCACGCCCUCUCCAUGGCCACAACAGCCAAGGGCUCAAGGUCCGUUCUCCCGAUGGCCAAGCUGCAAUCGGCGACGGUGACGGUGUGUUUGUUCUGAAACCAAGGGGUUUGCUGGAACCAGUGCCCCAAUUAGUUGGAACCAGCUCCUGGAUGUGCUACAAGGUCGACGCAUUGCCGGAGGGCUGCAUCCAACAUUGUUUGACGCGGGGAGCUGCAACCGGUGACUGGGGGAGCUGCAAGAGGGGGGUGCCUGUUUUUCUUUAUGAUGCGUCUUUUUUUGCUGAUUUUUUAUUAUUUGCCGAAAAAGGCUUUCGCCCCACUUUAUAUAUAAAGCAAAGAUCCACAGUGCCCGGUA